GACGAACGCUGGCGGCGUGCUUAACACAUGCAAGUCGAACGGAAAGGCCCUGCAUUUGUGGGGUGCUCGAGUGGCGAACGGGUGAGUAACACGUGAGUAACCUGCCCUUGACUUUGGGAUAACUUCAGGAAACUGGGGCUAAUACCGGAUAGGAGCUCCUGCUGCAUGGUGGGGGUUGGAAAGUUUCGGCGGUUGGGGAUGGACUCGCGGCUUAUCAGCUUGUUGGUGGGGUAGUGGCUUACCAAGGCUUUGACGGGUAGCCGGCCUGAGAGGGUGACCGGCCACAUUGGGACUGAGAUACGGCCCAGACUCCUACGGGAGGCAGCAGUGGGGAAUAUUGCACAAUGGGCGGAAGCCGGAUGCAGCAACGCCGCGUGCGGGAUGACGGCCUUCGGGUUGUAAACCGCUUUCGCCUGUGACGAAGCGUGAGUGACGGUAAUGGGUAAAGAAGCACCGGCUAACUACGUG
rnacentral:rRNA from 1 species